UACGGAAGGGGCAAGCGUUGUUCGGAAUCAUUGGGCGUAAAGGGCGCGUAGGCGGUCGCGUGUGUCUGCUGUGAAAGCACACGGCUUAACCGUGUGAAGUCGGUAGAAACUGCGGGACUUGAGGCUGGGAGAGGUUGGUGGAAUUCCCUGUGUAGCGGUGAAAUGCGUAGAUAUAGGGGAGAACACUCGUGGCGAAGGCGGCCAGCUGGACCAGCCCUGACGCUGAGGCGCGACAGCGUGGGGAGCAAACAGG
rnacentral:rRNA from 1 species